AGUAGAUCCAGAAGACACAGGUUCCUGGGAGAGGUGGCGGGGUGGCCUUGGCCUUCUACAGCACAGAGCUAUUCUUCACUUGGGAAGCUGCCCGGGUGGCCUGGGGAUGACCCCGUCCACUCCUACCACCUGUCACCUACCCUCUGUUGCUCACCUGCCAACCCUCUGUCCUAGUCCAUCCAUCAGCUCUCUCCAGUCAAGCACACACCUGCCGAGGCUCCCUCCAGGCCCCGGGCACCGCCUGAGGGCGCCCCUGCCGCUCCUUCCCAGGCAGCCCUCCAUCUCCACAAGCCCAGCUCCUGGCUCCUCACUCCCCUCCCUCACUCGCAAGGUCUCACUGUCCCCCCAGGGCUCUGUUGGCCCCGGUUUCCCGACGCACAUGCGGCACCUGGCUCAGGUGGGUGAGUGAGUAGGUCUGCAACAGACAUUUACUGAGCGCCAACGGUAUGCCAGACAUGGUUCCAAGGACACAGGACACAGGUGGUGGCGUCAACCCUCAGGAGACUGGCAGUCAAUGAAGGGGAGACAUGCUCGUGAAGCCAGCAGCGGAAGGGUGGGCUACGCUCCACCCCCAGGGCCAUUCCCGUUCCUGACCCCCACCGUCACCAGACCCCAGGGGCGGCCGCCACGCAGCUCUGCGUCUGCCCCUGCUCAGCGGGGCUCAUGCUCAUCAGCUCCACGGGAAACACGUGUCCACCCUCCGCCCACCUGUUGCUCGUGCUUCCUCACGGACCUUGUCCCACACGUGGCUCACCUUUACAAACCCUCUUUGCCGGACACAGAGACGCUCACCAGAGCAGAGGGCUGCCCUGGUGCCCCAGCUCCCUGCGACCCAGCACUUCACCUUGUUUCAUCCGUUUCCCCAAGCUUUUUCUUGGAGUGUUUUGUUUGAUUUGGGGGGGGGUGCGGGCCGAGAGAGAGAGAAUGCCAAGCAGACUCCGUGCCCAGUGUGGAGCCUGACGCGGGGCUCAAUCCCAGGACCCUGAGACCAUGACCUGAGCCAAAAUCAAGAGUCAGAUGCUUAGCCGAUUGUGUCUCCUAGGCGCCCCUUUCCUGGAGUGUCUUAAAGCAAAACUUGGCCCAUCUUACCCAUGAGCACUUCUGUUUAUUGAUCACUUUGUGCGAAAUGACCAGGGGUCACCUGAGCAUUUUUAAGGAAUGGGGUAUUGGAGCUGCCUGGGCUGAGAUGGUGGAGGGGCCUUGGAACCGGAAUGUACCCCACCUGGAGGGCCAGGUGAGGGUGUCGCCCCAUCAAGGACAUGAGGGGUGGGGCCAGUGGGGGUCGGGAAAGAGGGGCCAAGGGGGGCAGAGAGGGAGGGCUCCAUCCCAGGAGGUUGCAGGGGUGGACUGAGAGAGCAGGGCAUUCCAACCAGUGAGGAGACCCUCGGGGCAAGCCCUUGUGGGUGUCUGCCCAGCACCAGCCCCCUCUCCUUGGCCCCCUCGGCUUGAUUGACCAGCAGUGCUGGGCACCCUGCAUGGACCAGGGCUGCGGGCACAGAGGGGAGACCCGUGGGCAUGCAGACUGCAGGAAUCCUGAGUGCCGGAACUUUCCAUGAGGUCAGGGGUUGUGGGCAGUGUGCCCUGAGGACGCAUGGGGGUGACAUCUGCCUGUUCCCCAAUGUCAUCGUGCACACCGUCCUUCCCCCGACCUCUUCAGUGGAGGGUCCAGGUCUUGGCUUCUGACCCCAAAAGCCACCAAAUUUGAUGGGGCACCAGUGGCCCUCCUGCGGCCCUGACACAGCACCCCCGGCCAGUCAUCCUGAACAUGCCCACCGGAGCCAGAGCCGGGGACAGGGUAUGCACGGUUUAUCCUGCUAUACGAGUCCGCAGGCUGUCUGGCAACGCAUGCACAGGUCUGCAGUGUAGACGAGAGUGGUGGGUCAGGCUGGUUUUCUGACCUGGUCAUCGUGUGCGGUCAUGUCGGCAAACUCAUUUCUGGGAGGCUCACACUGACCCUUUUGGCAGUCGGCGCUGCGUGCUGUCCCUCACUGGAGCCACGGGUGCCCUGGAGAAUCCAUGUCCCAACCAGCUCCAGGGUUGGGGGCCAUGGCUACUGCUCACGGAGCAAACAACGACCCACCGUGUCAUCCUGGGGCUACGGGAUGAGCCAUUUCUGCGGCUCUAAUGUGCGUCUCAAUCAAAAAAAGAUGCCAGGCACUGAAGCUUCCAGAACCUGGCUUCUGCCUCAAAACCGUACCCUGACAUGCCAGGCACCAAGGAGCUGUGCGAGCCCUCGGUCCCUGAGAAGGUGCCCGUGGUUGGGACUGCAACCCCACGACAGCCCAGUGGGGCAGGGAGCCCCUCACAGGCUUGGGGGUCUGGGGACAUGAUGCAGGGCCGAGGACCGAGAGGGGAGGAGGUGUGUCAGCUUUAUUGGUCGUUGGUGCUUAGAAAUGUGUGGGCUCAGGCCCCCGAGGAGGGGCGGGGCACUGUCCCGUCACUGCUGGUGGAAGGCGUGUGCAGGGCCGGUGGCCAGCGGGGGCAGCAGUCCAACGUCCUGGGUCAGGAAGCACAGAUACCCCGGGGCCCCAGCAUGGGGCCUCGAAGCCCAGAUGCCCGUUGCGCUGGCAGAGGCAGGGGUCUCCUUGUCCUUCUAGAAACGUCCUGAGACCAAGGCCGACCGGAGCCCCCACUCCCAUUCUUGGGCUGCUGCGUGUCUGUGGCAGCCACGACCCUUCUCCACUUCUGUCUCCUGGGCCACGCUCCAGCGGGAGGGGCAGCCGAGGACGGAGCAGGGUCUGGGGUGGCCUAGCCACAGGCGGCUCGUCCCAGGACACAGUCUAGUGGAGCCUGCCUGGGC